CGUGACAUGCUGCAGGCCAUCAUCAAGCUGUCCUGCGGCAUUGCCCACGACCACCUCCGCAAGUUGCCUGGCCUGAAGACAGCAGCCACCGCGGUGAUGCAGGAGCUGAUAGAUCCCUACUGCCUGCAUUCCGAAAUUCCUUCUUGUAUCCAGAGGCUCAUGGGGAAGGAUGCUGCCAGGUGCAUAGAGCCCGAAGCAGACACGCAGCCCUCC